AUAUAUAUAUAUAUAUAUAUAUAUAUAUAUAUAUAGUGUUUGCUCUUACAAUGCCGAGUGUAUGUGAUUCUGUUUGGACCCAAGGUAAUAAACUUAAUCUUUGGAAAUUGGCGGACCGCUUGAAGCCUGCUUUACCUCAGCCGUGGGUCGGCGCGGUAAUUCACUAUCUCCGGGAUCGGCCCACGCAUU